CCACCCCAGGUGUCCUUUGUCAGACCUGGAAGGCCACGCUGCCCGAGAAGAUGGAGGGCAUCGCUGACUCUUGCCUCGAGGUCCCGUGUCGUUUCGAUAUCCCCAUAAAGGAGGAAGCGAACAUCGUGAACUGCUCGGGGGGGGUCGUCUGGCAGAAAGGACGGCUCGGCGGCCCCGCGGUCUUCAAUGCACAACAUCCCCACGGCAACGCCAUACAGGGGGAACUGGUCGGGGACCCGACGAAGAAGAACUGCAGCACCACAUUCCACAACUUCCCCAAGAACCAGAGCGGCAUCUUCUUCUUCAGACUCAACUGUUUGAACCACGUCAAGUACAAUUUCCAUGAAGGCGUCGUCAUUGACAUCCAAGCAGAGCCGCCCCCCCCCCAGCUGACCUCUGUGGGUCAGGUGUCGGAGGGAGACCAGGUGAAGCUGCGGUGUCUGGCCCCGGUGCCCUGCUCCACCCUGCCCCCCUCCAUCACCUGGCUGCCCCGAGAAGCCUCCAGGCAGGAGCAGACACAGACGCAGCAGAGUCUGGACGGCCUGAGGACGAUGACCUCCACGUUGACCUUUGCCGCCUCAGCCGAGCAUCACAACCAGAGCGUCUCGUGCUCCGUGUCCUACCCGCUGAUCAGAGGGGGGAGCAGCCGCCCCCCCCCGGCCACCCACACCCUCACCGUCCUGUACGGUCCCAGAGUAACCGUGGCAACGCUCAGCACGUCGGUUCCCGUCCCCGAGGGCAGCAACGUGACCUUCACCUGUCGGAGCGACGCCAACCCGCCUGUGAGCCUCUACACCUGGUACAGAGUGGACGGCGGCGAGUUGACGAGGACGGGGAGGGACAGACGCUGGUCCUGAAGGUCACUCAGAAGGACAGCGGGGCUCAUCUGUGCGAAGCUCGAACCCAGAAGCUCUCCCAGCGGUCCGGACCUGUGACCCUGGAGGUCAGCGCCGCCACAGGCAGCAGGUUGGCGGCGGCGGCUCCCUACGCCCUGUGUGGAGUGUUGCUGGUCGUCUACAUGGUGACUGUGGUGGUGGAUGUGUAUAAGUACCAGAGUAUUUCCGGGAGGUUGAAGGUAAGUGGGAACUUCUCACCCCGAGCGGAGAGAGUGAGUGACAGCCAGACGGUGCCCGCCCCCGCAUUGCACUCAUAGAGACCUGAUAAAGACGCUUUGCCGUCCUGCUCGUCACCGUCUCGUCUCGCUGACAUCCUCGUUCCCGCUGACUCAUCUCGCGUGAUCUGUCACGUCGUCCAUUUGAGUCUCUCAACACGUCCGCACUCACAAAACAAAGAAACCAAGUAUUUUUAAAAAAGAGAUAAAGAGACAAACGUCAUGCGUCCAAAGUUCCUCACGGUUUACAUCUAGAGCGAAGAUCAAAAUGUAACUAUCGCUGGGAGACCUGUUGGGAGGUUUGACCCUUUCUGAAUGUUCAUUUCAGCGGAUCGAGCUGCAGGUCGAGCCGAGGCCCCGGAGCGCCGCCUCCGACUACGAGCAGCUCCAGCCACGUGGGCCGAUGACUUCUGAAGAAGCGCACAACUACGAGAACCCCAUCGCCCUGCGAGCCACGUACAAGAACCUCCCCCGCC